GAUGAACGCUGGCGGCGUGCUUAACACAUGCAAGUCGAACGGGAAUUCUUUUAUUGCCCCUUCGGUCGAUUUCAUUUAAUUCUAGUGGCGGACGGGUGAGUAACGCGUGGGUAACCUGCCUUAUACAGGGGGAUAACAGUCAGAAAUGGCUGCUAAUACCGCAUAAGCGCACAGAGCUGCAUGGCUCAGUGUGCAAAACUCCGGUGGUAUAAGAUGGACCCGCGUUGGAUUAGCUUGUUGGCAGGGUAACGGCCUACCAAGGCGACGAUCCAUAGCCGGCCUGAGAGGGUGAACGGCCACAUUGGGACUGAGACACGGCCCAGACUCCUACGGGAGGCAGCAGUGGGGAAUAUUGCACAAUGGGGGAAACCCUGAUGCAGCGACGCCGCGUGAAGGAAGAAGUAUCUCGGUAUGUAAACUUCUAUCAGCAGGGAAGAUAGUGACGGUACCUGACGAAGAAGCCCCGGCUAACUACGUG
rnacentral:rRNA from 1 species